CAGGUCUGUGAUGCCCUUAGAUGGUUUGGGCUGCACGCGUGCUACAAUGAUAGAGACAGAGAUCCACUCUUUCCUUGUUGGAAGGAGAUUGACGCAUCGAAGGAUGGGUUGAAAGGAUGGAGAAUCUAUCAAGUUAGGGGAUUAACGAUUGGAAUUAUUCGUUAUGAACACGGAAUGCCUAGUAAGUAUAAGUCAACAGGUUAUAUUGAUUAGGUCCCUGCCUCUUGCACACACCGCCCGU
rnacentral:rRNA from 1 species